CAUACAUGUCGUCGUCGUCGUACCAAAACCAAGUCGACGUUGGUCGCGUGGACCGGGCGGGCCGCCAAACUGUGCAAGCAACACGGCGAAUGCGCGCGACAUCGCGUGGUAUAAACCGCUUCCCCGUCCCGUGCCCGCCACUUUCUCGAUCGUCUUCUCUUGCCGCGUCGCCCACGCCGGCGGGGAAGCAGAGGAGCGAGCUCGCCGCAGAUCCCGACGCAGCAAGUCAAACCCCCUCCGGGGGGCGCGCCGCGCGCGAUAAUAGUAGUCUUCUACUACUAGUGUGGAUCUCCCCCCUCUUGACGCCACGCCCAGAUCCUCGAGUGCCACCGGCGAACCGCCCUGGAUCCCGCGN
rnacentral:lncRNA from 1 species